rnacentral:rRNA from 1 species
AGUGAACGCUGGCGGCGUGCCUAAUACAUGCAAGUCGAACGGAGAUUAAGUAGCUUGCUAUUUAAUCUUAGUGGCGCACGGGUGAGUAAUAUAUAGCUAACUUGCCCAUUACUAAGGGACAACAGUUGGAAACGACUGCUAAUACCUUAUACUCCGUAUCUAUAUAAAUAGAUACGGGAAAGUUUUUCGGUAAUGGAUAGGGCUAUAUCGUAUCAGCUAGUUGGUAAGGUAAUGGCUUACCAAGGCUAUGACGCGUAACUGGUCUGAGAGGAUGAUCAGUCACACUGGAACUGAGACACGGUCCAGACUCCUACGGGAGGCAGCAGUAGGGAAUAUUGCUCAAUGGGGGAAACCCUGAAGCAGCAACGCCGCGUGGAGGAUGACACUUUUCGGAGCGUAAACUCCUUUUCUUGGGAAAGAAUUAUGACGGUACCCAAGGAAUAAGCACCGGCUAACUCCGUGCCAGCAGCCGCGGUAAUACGGAGGGUGCAAGCGUUACUCGGAAUCACUGGGCGUAAAGGACGCGUAGGCGGAUUAUCAAGUCUCUUGUGAAAUCUAACGGCUUAACCGUUAAACUGCUUGGGAAACUGAUAAUCUAGAGUAAGGGAGAGGCAGAUGGAAUUCUUGGUGUAGGGGUAAAAUCCGUAGAGAUCAAGAAGAAUACCCAUUGCGAAAGCGAUCUGCUGGAACUUAACUGACGCUAAUGCGUGAAAGCGUGGGGAGCAAACAGG